GUGCCAGCCGCCGCGGUAAUACGUAGGGUGCAAACGUUGUUCGGAAUCACUGGGCAUAAAGGGCGCGUAGGCGGUUUGAUAAGUCCUGUGUGAAAGCCCCCGGCUCAACCGGGGAACUGCACUGGAUACUGUCAGGCUAGAGUGUAGAAGAGGAGAGCGGAAUUCCUGGUGGAGCGGUGAAAUGCGUAGAUAUCAGGAGGAACGCCAGUGGCGAAAGCGGCUCUCUGGUCUACUACUGACGCUGAGGCGCGAAAGCUAGGGGAGCAAACGGGAUUAGAUACCCUCGUAGUCC
rnacentral:rRNA from 1 species